GCCGAAUGACCCUUCCUUAUAGACGUAUUUACGUCAAAAAAACACUGGCCUAUUUGUGAAUGAAGAAUUGGAAUGGAAGCUGAAGAGUCCAUGUUGUUUAGAACGCAGGGCAAUGACGGUCGUCCCUUUGUCAAGGAUAUCAUUUCGAAAUCACGCCAGCAGAAUUAUUGUCAGUCAAUUGGUAGUUGAACCACAUAAUUCUCUUAGACUAUGAAGAGGUUAGAAGAGAUCAGCAUUAUCAGUCUUAUCAAUACAGUUAAUGACUUAAUCAUCGUUUAAUUAUUAUGGUGACCAAAUCAAGGAGGAUUAGAUGGGCAAACAUGCAGCACGCAUGAACAGUGACAAAUUCUUGCAAUGUAUUGGUCGGAAAACUUCAAAGUAAAAGGCCACUUGAGAAAGCAAGACGUAGAUGGUAGAAUAAUAUGAAAAGGAAUAAGACGUGAUUUUAUCUGGAUCAGGACAGGGACCAGUGGCGGGCUCUGUUGAAUAUGAUAAUGAACCUUCGAUUUUCGUAAAUGACGGGGAAUUUCUUAACUAGCUGAGUACCAUUGCUAAUUAAGGACACCGCUCCGUAGAGUUAGUGAAAUACGUAACACAUUGUGUUUACGUGAGAGAGAGGCCUGUGAGCGCUCCAUUAAUUGUGAUUUACUUUCACCAACAAGAGCAUGAGCAUUGUUACGUGUGAAACAUUUGCAUUAUAGUAUUCCACGUAGGCGAAAUUCUUUUACCCUGUUCCCACCCAAUGUAAUACGCUGACACCACCCAUACGCUGGAAACAAAGAAUGUGAAUUCUAACAACACAAAAAUAUUGCGUUUCUUUUUUUGGUUUAUUCAUGACUGCGCUCUAAGCGAACUUUAUACAUGUAACUACUAGUCACAUUACUCAAUCUGCCAUGUACAGGCUACGAAUGUAUUUGUUACAUUUUUGUUCGGAGAGAUAAUUUAAACUCUUCCUUAGACUUACAGCUUAUUCAUGCUUUUUCACCGAUAAAUACAAGUAAAUGUGCAUCAAUAAGGAAGCUGGUAAAAUUACUUAUAACAGUGAACAAAAGGAAAUAUUAUUUUGCAUAUUGUAUUCUCUGAGAUACAGUCCCAAUAUACUUUUAUUAUUUUAAUAUUCUUAAUUCUCAACUUGGUCAUUUAGUUCAAUUUGUAUCCUGUAUUUGCAUGUCACAAGAUGGCCGAUAGAAAAACCGAAACACGUAAUAAUUUCUUUAGUACAGAUUACACAAUUAAAACUUUGUUGUAUUGACUGUUGCAUGUACUUUGUUAUAAAUAUAACAGAAUACUUCAGUCACGAUAAAAAGUAAGGUUACUUUACAAAAAAAGAAGAAGAUAAUCGUCCGCAUAGGUCUAACGCGAUACAUACUUAGGAACACUAAUAAACACGAGCAGAUUAUGAUAGUUGUAUCAUGACUUUUGUCGAGCAAAAACGGUCCAAGAUGGCGCUAUCGGUAAGCCUAUUUAUUUCGUUAACUGUUUACUGUACAUUUCUGAACUUUUAAAUGUAAAGACACGAAUUAAGUUAGUGUUUUGCAACCUUUAUAAGAAAUUUUAUGUUCAAAGUCAAUAUCUUACCUUUCGUAAUUACAUUUCGUAGUAAAAACACACGCACAAACACACUAGGUUCAUACUUGAUAGUUUUAUUUAAUAUGUAUUAUCUUUAUUUUCAUAAGCCAGCUUUCAUUCAGGACAGGGAUUUAUAGGGGAUACCAGGGCAGAACAGGGUAUCGGCUUUAUUUCGUCUACAAUGCGUUGCGAUUUAUCGGGAGCUGGUGAAAUACCAUUGGCAUACAGCACAGGGUCAUAUCAUGUCAGUCAGCGCCAUUUUGUGGUUACAGUUUCAGAAAUAAUCACCUAUGCUGGAUUUUACUCCUACAUUUUACAAAUUUUUCUCAACUUCCAGUGAAAGUAAGACCUAUUCAUUAUUCACAUCCACUUUGUUGAAUGGUGCAUGUUACGAGAUGUUUUCUUGAAAGUCUUAAACACAAUAUUUUUAUUUAUUUUCAUGAUGUCAUUUUUGGUGGGACAAUCCUAAUUUGAAAGAUUAUACUCGGGGCAGGAUGGGGUAGGGCGGAAUGGGGUACCCAAAGAAGAGGAUCAAAUGACAAGUGCCUGUAAUGUGGUAAUGAUCGGUGCGACCCCCACAACUACUGAACUCCCCUCUCUCGGCUUACACAUUGCGCAUUUAGGUGCCACCACUACUCGCGCGACCUCUACAAUUCUUGACUGGUCCAUGAAUUUUUCUCUUCGUCAUUCUACCUCCCACCUAUUCGGUACGGUGGAACCUCUCGUCAAGGGUAAAGGGACUGGAGCAUAAAACAACUGACCACUCACCAUCAUUAGUACCGAGAUUAAGACUGUGUUGAUAUUUACUUUUCUCUUUGUCAUAUCUUCAUAGCAUGGUGCUUGUAAAGGGGGGAUUUUUUUAUCCUUAAUUAAGGUUGUCACUUUCUGUCUCUUAACACGAAAUAAACGAGAAACACUAUACGCCUACUUUUCUUAAUUACCUCAUCUUGAUUUGUCAUAGUCUUACUAAAUGUUGGGGCGGUAAAUUAAGAACGGCCACAUCCCAAUUUAUUCCACGAACAUUCCAAUUCGUCAUGAACAAUCAUUCUGUAAUUUCUAAGUCGACACGAAAUUUUCUAUACAGUUGGAAAACCUCGUUAACUAAACAAAUAAAAAUACUCUGUUCUCAUUUGUAUCGCAUGGAAUGUGUUGACAUGUGCCCUUUUCAUAGCAUGACUUUUAGCAAUAAACUUUGUAAACCUAACGCAUAGACCUAAUUUGAAUAGUUUCCAAUACAGGCUAAUCUCGCUGUACGUGAUUUUUCUAACCGCGGUUCUUUUAGGCAUUAUGUAGAGCAUCAAUAUCCCAAUUUGCGGCCAAAUUUUAAAGCCUGUUACCUGCGUCGAAGCUUCUAUAGGCUUAUCAGUGUAUAAGGUGCAAAUGAUAAUCUUAGAAUCUAAGAAUCCUGGAGUCAUUUUAACAUUAAAAUGGCGAUUGUGACACACUUCCCGUUUUAUUCAGUUAAUAUUGUUAGGGUGAUGAAAAAUAAAGUUUAAAGAAAUGGGUUGGGCAUGAGAAAAAAAAAGACAUGUAUUCAAAUUUGUCGUAAAACCUACCCAGAAGCAGGUAGACGACAGACACAAGCAUUAUGAAUGAAUUUUAGAGGAACAGGAUUUGAAAACAUGGACUGGAUUCAAUUAACUUCGGGUAGCAUCUAAUAUCGAACCCGAGCCUCCGAUACCCAAAAAAAUAUUGGAAGGAACAAUAUAUGGGAGAAGGC